rnacentral:rRNA from 1 species
UACGUAGGGUGCAAGCGUUGUCCGGAUUUACUGGGCGUAAAGCGCGUUCAGGCGGCUUGGCAAGUCGGGCAUGAAAUCUCUCGGCUCAACCGGGAGAGGUUGUCCGAUACUUCCAGACUUGAGGGCAGUAGAGGGUGGUGGAAUUCCGGGUGUAGUGGUGAAAUGUGUUGAUAUCAGGAGGAACACCCAUGGCGAAGGCAGCAAACUGGGCAUUAUCUGACGCUGAGGCGCGAAAGCGUGGGUAGCAAACAGG